GCCGGAAGUCCCGUUCUCUGGGGAGCGGGAACCCUGGCGACCCGUGUCAUGGGAGCGGGUUUCUGUUACGUGGGCUUUAGCGCGAGCUGGGCGGUCGGCCCGGUCCCACCGAACUGCAUAGGGCCGUGUAGCCGGGGGAAGUCAGCCCCCUGCUCUGAGAAGCAGACUCUGCAUCUGUAAAAGGCUAAGCGUGCCCACUGGGGCCUGUGGUCAGGAUUGGCUGCAGUGAGGUCCGCAAAGCCCCUACCGCAUCCUGCGCCUUCGUUAGGGUGAGCAGUCAUGGGGACUCGCAUUGUGCCACCACGUAGCGGGUCUCACUGGGUCCGCUUGUCUGCUCGAGGAGACAGCCGGUGAGGACGGGAGCUGGCCUGCUUUGCCCAGGCUGUAACCUCAGCCUCCGCCCAUACCCACAGAGAAAAAGUAGUCAUAAUACAAAAGAAAAAUGGACAAUGCUUGGAUACCAUAAUAAAAAUUAACACUACCAACAAGGAGCAUGGACAUUGUGUGGCUUCAGAUGUAAUGUGAAGGACAACCUCCGUUGAAAAGGGCAACUGCUGUAGUAUUCUAAUCUGGAAUGCAUCACCUAAUCCUAUCAUAAGAAGACAUUAGGAAAAAAAAAAUAAAGAUAAUUCCAUUUUUUUAA
rnacentral:lncRNA from 1 species